GAUGAACGCUGGCGGCGUGCCUAAUACAUGCAAGUCGAGCGAACAGACGAGGAGCUUGCUCCUCUGACGUUAGCGGCGGACGGGUGAGUAACACGUGGAUAACCUACCUAUAAGACUGGGAUAACUUCGGGAAACCGGAGCUAAUACCGGAUAAUAUAUUGAACCGCAUGGUUCAAUAGUGAAAGACGGUUUUGCUGUCACUUAUAGAUGGAUCCGCGCCGCAUUAGCUAGUUGGUAAGGUAACGGCUUACCAAGGCAACGAUGCGUAGCCGACCUGAGAGGGUGGUCGGCCACACUGGAACUGAGACACGGUCCAGACUCCUACGGGAGGCAGCAGUAGGGAAUCUUCCGCAAUGGGCGAAAGCUUGACGGAGCAACGCCGCGUGAGUGAUGAAGGUCUUCGGAUCGUAAAACUCUGUUAUUAGGGAAGAACAAAUGUGUAAGUAACUAUGCACGUCUUGACGGUACCUACUCAGAAAGCCACGGCUAACUACGUG
rnacentral:rRNA from 1 species